GGGACAAGGGAGGGAGCGAGGACGAGAGGGAAGGAGAAGAGGGGAAAAAAAGUAUUGGGAGAUGCAAAGGGUAGCGGGGCUUCCUCAGUGGAUCCCGAGUUACAGUGGUUUCCCCAGAUCCUUGCCAAGAGAUCUGACUACGCUUUCAGGGAGUGAUUGGAGGUCCUCAGAGUGGUGGUGAACCCCGUGUGGAAAUCUCAGAGCUGCCCAGUCAAGCUGCCCAGGGCCCCGUGCCUGGAGGACCGUGUGCACCUGGGCUGCCAAGUGAAGCGUAUCCUGAACAUUACCUCAUCUUCCUUAGGAUCGUCUCCCUUUGGAGCCUGGCGGUGGAUGCAGGGAACACAACCUCUCCAGAGCUACUUGAGGCCCAUUAGGAAUGCCUUACAGACUUUGGGCCAGCCCUUUCCUCCAGUGUCUCUCAGCUUUUCACGUUCUAGUUCUCAGAAGAUGUGCUUCAAAACCACAGGUCUGUUUCAUCCUAGUCAGUGUUGCAGAUGUUUCUCAAGCCUUGCAACAUAAAGAGUGUAUCUCUGACUUUGUCCUGAUGGGAAGCAUUGGAAGAGAACCACGAAAGCUAUGGAGAAGAAAGAUAUCGAAGACGUUCAUUCUAGUCGCUAAAGAUGAAGAAAAGCCUGAUGCAGAGAGGUAGAAAUUCCAAAGGGGUUUAGAGAGAUGCAUCUCAUUACCUCUGGUGUCUGUAUGAACUAUAAAGAUGAAUCUGAAACAAUCAAUGUGAGGCACCUGGAUGGCAACUAGCUCUUGAUAAUGGCUCAGGUUGUGAUCUUUUGGUUUGUGAGAUC